AGUGGCGAACGGGUGGGUAAUGCAUCGGAACGUGCCCUGAAGUGGGGGAUAACGUAGCGAAAGUUACGCUAAUACCGCAUAUUCUGUGAGCAGGAAAGCAGGGGAUCGCAAGACCUUGCGCUUUAGGAGCGGCCGAUGUCGGAUUAGCUAGUUGGUGGGGUAAAAGCUCACCAAGGCGACGAUCCGUAGCGGGUCUGAGAGGAUGAUCCGCCACACUGGGACUGAGACACGGCCCAGACUCCUACGGGAGGCAGCAGUGGGGAAUUUUGGACAAUGGGCGCAAGCCUGAUCCAGCCAUGCCGCGUGAGUGAAGAAGGCCUUCGGGUUGUAAAGCUCUUUCGGCGGGGAAGAAAUUGCACUCUCUAAUACAGGGUGUAGAUGACGGUACCCGCAUAAGAAGCACCGGCUAACUACGUGCCAGCAGCCGCGGUAAUACGUAGGGUGCGAGCGUUAAUCGGAAUUACUGGGCGUAAAGCGUGCGCAGGUGGUUGUGUAAGUCAGAUGUGAAAUCCCCGGGCUCAACCUGGGAACUGCAUUUGAGACUGCACGGCUAGAGGAUGGCAGAGGGGGGUAGAAUUCCACGUGUAGCAGUGAAAUGCGUAGAGAUGUGGAGGAAUACCGAUGGCGAAGGCAGCCCCCUGGGCUAUUUCUGACACUCAUGCACGAAAGCGUGGAGAGCAAACAGGAUUAGAUACCCUGGUAGUCCACGCCCUAAACGAUGUCAACUAGAUGUUGG
rnacentral:rRNA from 1 species